AGUCAGAUGGGCCAUGGUCAACAGUGCUCACAUGGACAUGGGUAGGGACUUGGACCCAGAAACACGGCUCUAUUCAACACAUUCCAUCUUUUCUCCUUCUACUUGGAUACGGGAUAUGCAAUUAUAACACACUGAACUUCUCUACCAAUUCCAUGUCCUGUGGUACUGCUGGGUCACUUUCUCUGGAUGACUGCUUUCCUCAUUAUGGAAACCAAUGCUUCCUACUUCCAUGGGAUAUGGAGGUAGACUGUCAAUUUUACCUUUAGUAAUAUGUGGCCGUGUCCUCAGACUUCAGGUUGUUCAUCUGCAGAUACAGCGUGUUCUUGGCGUUGUCCCUGGAGAUGGUGAAUCGGCCCUUCACGGAGUCUGCGUAGCUUGUGCUACUUCCAUCAUAUCUAAUAUAUGCGACCCACUGCAGCCCCUUUCCUGGAGCCUGGCGGACCCAGUUCAU